GCCAGACUCCUACGGGAGGCAGCAGUGGGGAAUAUUGGACAAUGGGGGGAACCCUGAUCCAGCGACGCCGCGUGAGUGAAGAAGUAUUUCGGUAUGUAAAGCUCUAUCAGCAGGGAAGAAAGAAAUGACGGUACCUGACUAAGAAGCCCCGGCUAACUACGUGCCAGCAGCCGCGGUAAUACGUAGGGGGCAAGCGUUAUCCGGAUUUACUGGGUGUAAAGGGAGCGUAGACGGCGACGCAAGUCUGGAGUGAAAGCCCGGGGCCCAACCCCGGGACUGCUCUGGAAACUGCGUCGCUGGAGUACGGGAGGGGCAGGCGGAAUUCCUGGUGUAGCGGUGAAAUGCGUAGAUAUCAGGAGGAACACCGGCGGCGAAGGCGGCCUGCUGGACCGUGACUGACGUUGAGGCUCGAGGGCGUGGGGAGCAAACAGGAUUAGAUACCCUUGUA
rnacentral:rRNA from 1 species